rnacentral:piRNA from 1 species
UCCUAGAGUUAUGCACUGUGCCUUGGGGAA